rnacentral:rRNA from 1 species
AUGUGCAUUGUCGCCGUGGUGGCAGUGGCCACAGCGGACGUGGCCGAAACGGCGGCAGGCGCGACGAGGCGUCCGACGGUCCUGGCCAGCACCCUUGGGUUGGGUACUUCGACCCCAUGGGGUGCGUCGUUCCCACCCCCUCGUGCGCCCUGGGUGCCCCCAAACUCUGCAGGCAUCCUCGGGUCCCGACUUGGUGCGCCAAUGCAGGCGUACCCGGUUAUGUACUCUGGCACGCCGCCUGCUCCGUACGCCGCCCCUUCGUAUGCCGCCCCUCCAUACGUCGUGUUUCCCCCGGCGCUAAAGUGGAUAUGGGUAAUGGGGCCCGCCUUCCUGUUGUUGCCAUCGGUAGCGCUCUCCUCCCCUCUCGCCCGAUCUGGUCAGCAAGGCCCUUCUCUUAGGUGCAAUAGUGGAGGUGAUCUCUAUCCGUUUUCAAGCAGUAAUGGUCGCUCCUCCCCGAUGGUCCUCACCUCGAGCUGUCCAACUUGUCGCGGACUUGGCCACCCCAGCUCAUCUACUUUAGCUCAUUUCCCCCUUGAUUUCUUAGACUCAUGUAAUAAAGAUGUCCAUGACUCCAUGCUUUGUACUGCAUGCCAACUUGGCAAACAUACUCGCCUCCCCUUCCCCACCUCUACAUGCUUCGCCACCGCGCCUUUUCAAUUAGUCCACUGCGAUUUAUGGACAUCGGCAGUUGUUAGCUUUUCCGCCACACAAACAUGCCAGCAGCAGCCAUGCCCGAGGAAAUCCACAGCUCCCAGCCGUCGGACGCCGCCAUCCGCGCGAAGGGCCGCCGCCCGCACCUCCCACCACAGCACGCCGGUGAGCCGCGCCUUGCGCCGCCUCUCUCUCUCUUAUGUUCUCCUCUCUAAUCUCUCUCCUCCUUGCAGCAAUGGAGGCCGACCGCCCAUGGCAUCGCCCGAGCUCACCUCCCAGCAGUCGCUCUCCUUUCAAUUCGUCGGGAUCCGGCUAGAUCCGGAUGCCAGUGCCCCGUUCCUACUUCCGCGCCUCGCUUGGGUCGUCGGCCACCUCGACGAUGUGAUACCACUCGCGGGAUCCAACGCCACUGCUGGCUAG